rnacentral:lncRNA from 1 species
GUGAAACAAAGCACAUCUUCAUUUUUAUAGCAGCCACCAUCUCUCUUGAGAAAAACAGGAUUAUUGUAAUUCCAGCUUAGCUGAAAUACGUAAGGCUUACUCAUCCUGUGCAUAAAAUUGAUAACUUGUGCAUCUGGGACUGUCUAUUUCUUUCCUAUUAAUCCAUUUUAGACUUUAUAAGUCAACUGAGCAUUCAGCUUUUGAAAAAUGAUUCUGGAAAAUUAUUUUGCAUAAGUACUAGUAAAUACUGGCAUGUGUUCCUGGCAGGGGAUAAAAAUAUUCCAUUUAGUCUCUGGUGGUCCCAGGAGCAGAAAUAGUGGCUGGAGAAUUGGCUCAGUUUGGGCACAGAAAAGCCUGUGCUGGUCAGCUCUACUUUCUUUUCAUUUAGUGAGGAUGAUUUAUUUUAAAACCUCACUAAGGAAGAUUAUAAGGCAGAUGAGAGAGAGGCACACACACAUAUCAAUAUCCAAAGAGACUAAUAGUGGGAAAACUGUUAGCUUUCUUCUUUGGUUCAUAUAUGUGGCCAAGCGGAAGAUUCUAAUGACGUCAUUAAGUUUAUGUUUGUAGAUGCAGCAUGGCCAAGCUGUUAAUCUUUUUAUAAAUGGUAAGCUGUGGGAUAUUUUUUCAGCUAUAAAAUGACAUGGAUAUUGACAACUUCAGCCUAAUUCUAUCAUUUGCCAUCUAUUUGUGCUGAAGGAAUGGAAAUUGCAGUUCCUUAGAAAAUGCCUGGCUUUUUUUAUGGACUUGAGAGAUCUUCAAAUCUUUUUCAACUGACCGGGGACUAUUACUUAGAAAGAGGGUGGUGGGUUAUUGGAUUAAUUGUGGCUAUUCCUGUAUGUUCCUGUAUUUAAACCAAGCCUAUAGCAACUUGGUAACUGGAAGAUGAAAAAAAAUGAAUCCAAUAAUUAAAAUAAAAGCAAAAUUUGCCACUAGA